ensembl:lncRNA
AUGCAGACUGAAGCAGAUGCUGGAGGUGACAACGUGCUGGAGCCAUAUGCUGUGGGCGCAGAAGUGGAAUUACGACCGGAUGAAGCGGUCCAGCGUCAGCCAGCUUCAACUACAGAUGGAUUUCCCCCUUUGUAUAAUAAUGUAGAUUACCGGUGUCCUGUGAGUUCAAGUGAUGAUGACAGCAGCUCCGAAGAUCAUUGGUUCAAAUUUCAUAGACAUACACAGGGCUGUGUGUGCUGGGAAUGUGGACAGCACUUCAACAACAUGCGCAACCUAGUGGACCACUUCCACGGACAUACAUCUGAUCGACGUUGUCACCUCUGCGGUGUGACUUUUAAGUGGAUGAUUUCUCUCGCCAUGCACUUGGACAAUGCACACCAAAACAUCUCUCUAUCCUGCUGCAAGCCCAACUGUGAAACUCUGAGUCAAAACUGGUGGCACCUUAACAAGCAUCUGGGGAAGCACCACAGGGCAAAUGAUGGUUAUUCCUCAGAAAAAAUUGUUUCAUCUCAGGAAAACUCUGAAGAGGUUUUACAGGCAACCAUUGAUGGGAAUACUGAAAUUAAACUGGAGCAAGAGAAGGAGACUGGAAUUGAUACAUCAGGAUAUCCUAAACCAACAUCUUUAAAUGAGGAUCAUACGUAUCAUCAAUCAGAAAGCAUCCAGCAUGACAUAAAAACUGAACCACCUGUGGCCCAGAUUGACCGUAACAAUUGCAAGCUCACGUACAAUGGCAAGGAAAUGACAACUGCUUAUGCCUUGCGUGUUCGACACACCAAAAGCAUCACAACCAUCUUCCCACGAGAAGCUCUACCAGCGGUGGCACACCAGAAAAAAAUCCAAGUUUUUGUGCUGCGCUCUGCUCAACAGGACAACACUGAAGCAGAAGCUGCUGGAAGCAGAAGCUGCAUACUGAAGGGAAUGCCGAUCCCACACGCCGGUGUGUCUGCAGAGCAAGAGGAAACUAAGCCUGAGCUGGCAGAGUGUGCACCGCUGCAGUGGGAUAGUGAAGAGGAGCUUGCUGAAGAAGAGGUAAUGGAUGAGGACCUGCAAAGUGAUGACUCCCUGCCUGCAGGUGACACUGAGUACAGCCCUGAGUCCAAAUCAGAGACAGAUUCGCUUCCUUUUGAUUCAGAUGACAACUGGAGUCAAAACAGCAGCUACGUCAGGAAGCGUAAGGGUCAUCAUAGCAGAACCAGAGCAGCUAUUAAAUUGCCUCAUAUGACGUCUGCAAUAAAUCCUGAAAUGCCCACACUGAGUUCUGUUAAAUGUCCUCAUUGUGAUCUGGGCCCAUUUGUAUGUUUAAAACGCCAUUUGAGUGUCUGCUCUUCUAAGGAGAAAACAUUGAGUCGCCGCGGCCCGAUUGCAUGUGAUGAAGACCGGCCAGAGACGCAGCUUCAUGCUAACGCUAACCCUGUUGUAACCUGCAUGUCUUGUUGGCAGCCGUUCGCCAAUGUAGCUUUGCUCAAACAACACACAUGCCUGGCCACGCCCUCGGUGGCCCAGGGUCAGUCACAAGUUCCCACAGUUCCCUCUGUCACCCAGCCUUCUCCUUACCAAAUUAUCCGUGUCGUACCGACAUCCGUAAGCGCCGCCCCGACCCAGCAAACUAGCCGUAUGAGCCAGGCAGUGGCUGGUAAAAGGCCUUCCUCCCUUGUGUCUGCCAGCAAUGCUGUCAAGAUUAUUAAAAGACUGACUAAUCCAGCAGCCAACCUGGCAUCUCCAUCCACAACCUCGACGGUGCAUGGGGGCGGCAGGACUCAGGUGGUCCUCCCAAGGAAGGGGACGUUUGACCCUCAGGCAAAGUUGGUGACCGCACAGGUUCCACUGAGGUGCCCACAGGCUAACGCCCCAAAUUCAACAGCCGCUUUGGAGCUGAAAAACCUGUUGCUGCAAGGCGUGAUUAAGCCUCAAACGCUUGUCAGCACGUUGCAGUCCACUGUCCCUUCUUCUCUUUGUUUUAGUAAAGUUCCUCAAACGUCUACUGUUAUACACGUUCCCUCUCCUGCAAAGGUAGCUGCUCCUCUGAAUGUUUGCAAACCGGCGUCACUAGGGACCGCAUCCUCUCCUGUUGAUGUGAUAGUGACCUCUGCAACCAGAAACUCUGCCCCCACUGAUAAAUGGACCUUGCUGCCCACAGACCUUCGCCUUUUUGCCCCUUCUGUUAAGGCAGGACCUCAAGGACCUCAGGACCUUCUCAUUAAACCUCAAAGCUCCAGCAGCUUUCCCAGCAACACGCUAAGGUGGCAAUUAUUCGGUGCCAUCAGACCCCAAGUCAUCACCCCAGUUCCUGCGUCCUCACUUUGGAGAGGACCUGCUUUAGUCCCCUCUCCAUCAGUCCCAGACCUCAGUUGUCACAACGCUGCUCCAUUAAAAAUACUUGGGCUGUUUGUAAACCAAAGUAAGCAAGUGUCCCUUCAGCUGCGCCUGAAAAUGAACUGGCGUUCCAAGAUCGUGUACACGUGCCGCCAGUGUGGCGCGGUCUCCCGGCAGCCAUGUCUAGCUGUGCAGCACCGCUACCUCCAUCAAGGAGUACGCCCACACCGAUGCGCCUGUGGGAGAACGUUCCACCGGCAGCUGCACUUGCUGCGACACCAGGUCGUGCAUGCAGACACUGUACAUUACAUAUGCGCCACCUGCGGCAGGACGUUUCACGGUGCUCUGGCCCUAUCCAGACACAAGAAGGGCCCGGCAAGAAGAGGGCAGAAAAGGUUACGGAAGCAGUGCAUGGGCUCCUUCACCUGCAAGUGUGGGCUGAAGUUCUUAAGGCCGUCCUCCUUUCUGUGGCAUAAACUGAAAAAUGGAAAAAAUGGAUUACAUUCGACAAUGAAAAGUUUCAGACCAGGACACCAUGACUGAGGUUUUGGCCUAAAAAUGUUGUGUGUGGUCUGUAUGAACUGACUACUAUACUAAAAUACUGUACAUCGGCAAUACUGUACAAAAUACUGCCUUUUUAUCUUUUUUUUUUUUUUUUUUUUUGAUGAUGCUCAAAAAAUGAAAUCAAAAUAAAACGUUUUAAUUGUCUUAGGUUAUGUGCAUUGCCAUGUUGAGUCUUAUUUUUUAAGCAUUCAAAUUUAAUGCUUAAUGCAGUGGUGGCCUAGCUAGUAAGGAAGACACACAUGACAUGUCUUGUUCAACAACCAAUAGCUAGAUUUUCUUUGUGGUAAACUAAUGUUAUACUACUGAUUAUAAAACCAAAACUCCUAACAUUUGUUUUAGGCACUUCUAAUGUAUUCUUGCGGUUUAUGCCAUAUUGAAUGGUUUGUUUUUUUUCAUUUAAAAUGAGGGUGGGUGGGUGUAUGUGUGCUUAAAAAUAAAGACAUACACUUCAAUUUUUAGAUUUUAUAGACAAAAGUAUGUUCACAUUCACAGAUUUGAACAUGCUUCUGGAAUUAAAUUAAACAUAUUUGUCAACCGUUCACAAAACCAAAUUUCUCAUGUAAAUAGACUUUCAGCUAAUAGCAUUUGAAUUUAAAACAAAGAAUGUCUAAAGGGUCUGCAUAUAUGGACUUUAUGAAUGUAGUCUUCAGAGACAUCCACAUGAAUGUCAGGUGGAUUUGUUCUUUCACUUUUUGCAUGCGUGAGUUUUGUCUUCAUUUUCUGAUAUAUCCCCACCCACUAGAGUGCACUGUAGGUCUUCCUGAUGUCCCACACCAUCUCAAACUGUAAACUGAGAUUUUAAUACACCAAUGUUCUCAAAUUGCUCUGUAAUUAACUUAACACAAAUGAAGCAGCCACAGUUCGCUGUAAUAUGGUGUAAUAUUCUCAGUCUUAAGUGAUUUUAGCAUAGUUGUUAUAUAUGAGACACAUAUCUCAUCUUAAUUAUUAGAUUGUUUAGAUUGUUUGUUCUUUUAACCAAAAGGACUGUGACAUUAUGGUACUGUGAAGGAGCAUUUGAGAACAAAUGGCCACUCAAAAACAAAGCAUGAAAAGUGGAUGUGAGCCAAAAUAGUUUGUUCCACCUUCUUUUGCAGCUUCCAUGAAGUUACUGACUGUGUCUGUAACUGGGGGAAGCGUUUCCUCUAAACCGUGUGUGGUUGCUGCUGUCAAACCUAAGCUUAAUAGUUUCUUUUCUUAAAGCCGUUUUUUUCCCCUCAUCGAGUCAUAAAUAAUUUUCUUCCUUCUGUUGUUUUAGCCAAGGACAGUCAUCUGUUGCUUUCACAGUAUUCUCCCUUGUGCAUCGUUCAUGCUGUCCAUUAAGCACGGAGGCUUCAAUAGGGAUGUCUUCCAGUUCUGCAGCAUUCCAGAUGGUGCAGUUAUGGGAAUGAGGGCUCUGAAAUCUGGCACAGAAAAUCCACUGAAAAUAUCAGCCAAAGUGGGUUCCAAAAGUGAAAAUCACCUGUUGAUGAGAAAUGAAAAUUAUGAGCAGUGAUCAUCAGUGCUUGGCUCAAGGAAUACAAUAAAAUAUUUUCAGUUUAAGUUCUACAGAAGAAAUUUCAUUUAUUUUCUUCCCCUAAAUAAUGCAGUGAUGCAUUAUUUGUAUGUACCCUCAUUUAACACACUUGAUUCAGCCUCUCUACUGAUUGCCACCCAGAUCUUAAGCUGAAUCAGGUCUGGUGGAACAUGGAAAGAACCAAGCUGUGCAGGGAUAGUGCCCUCCAGGGCCAUGGUUGGUGACCCCUGAUGUAGACCUUAAACAGAAUGUUAAUAAUUGCUUUGAUGAUUUGCAUUACCUGUGGUCUAGGCCACGAAUUCGCACUACUUGGGCUAGCAGCUCAGAGGAGUGCUGGAAGCACCGAUUCAGCUCAUCCAGCUUCUGUUCCAUAGAGAUGAUGCGCUGUUCCAGCUCCCGGUAGGAGUUGUUCCAGUUGGCGCUCAGGUCACACAUAAUCAUCUGCAUCUGUUGACACACCAUGCAAAGAGAGGGUUUCCUCACAGCACCUACACAUCAGUUCUAACUCUGUAUGUAAUUAAUUAUAUAUGUCAGCAUGUUGUAAAGAAUUUGUCUUGAUAAUUUGAUUUCUACCUUUGGUAGAUCCACCAUCUCGCUAGCGUAGUCUCUAAGCUUUCUUUGCUUGAGGCGCAGGUGUCGAAAACUGUUGUCCAUACACAGAAUCAAAGUGUUUAAGGGCUUAUAUAUCAGAACAUAUAGUGUUGUGUUGAUCACUCAUCUGAAUAUUGAAGAAAAGAUUUUUGGGACUGAGUUUUGUGUAUCAAAAAAAUCCCGAGCACAGAACAGAAUUAAGCAAUAAUUCAAUAAGAUGAAUGUUGUACAGUGACCCAGUCUCAGACACAGUCCUCUCCUCAUUCUUCCAAACAGAGAAAAAUAUACACAGUGACUUCUGGGUCUGUCACCAACUACCUGAAGUCCUUUAUAAAGGCUCUAUCCAGACUACCAUGGAAUGUAGUCUGGCAAUGCCAAAUCUACAUACAAAGCUUCAAGAGUCUCGUGAAGAAACAUCUUCCUCGCAACCAUCUUGUACAUCCUCAUACUAACUAAGACUUAUUUUCAAUUUCAACUUCACUUAGUUAAGUUAAAGUUAUUGCUUUUGUGUAUAAUGCUUUGGGAUAAAAGUGGCAGCUAAAUUUCACAACUCGCUGUCCAUGACUGCUUACUCCCAACAAGGGGAUGCAGCUGCCCAUCCCAGGACCAGGGUGGGGCCACAGCCCACCACAGGGCACACACACACACACACCCUAUUUUAAACUAUUUUUGCAAAAUAUCUUCAAUUUGCUGACAGCACAACAGCACAAUUGAAUAUUUGGAAUCAAGAGGAAUCAGCAAGUUCUAAAGCUGACAAAAUCUGGGCACAGAGCAUUACAUUGGCAAUAAUAUAGCAAUAACAACCAAAUUCUCCUUCACGUAUCUCACACACAUUAACCAUUCAGCUGUUCAGCUUCCUACCAUUUGCUAGCUCAUUAUGCCUGCUAGCACUUCAUCGCUCUGCACCAUCAUUCCUAAUGUAUCUGAUGUGUCUGUCUUUUUUGUUGUCUAUGUGUUUUAAUUGAUGUUACUCUUGUUACUCUUACACUCGCUGUCUUGCACUGCUUGUGUCCCAUGUUUUUGCACUUUAUGUAGCCCGGUUUGCUGAUGUAACACACAUGCCCUCUAUGUCAGUAUGUAACUUUGCUUAAAUGUUACAUGUAGCACCAGGUUCCGGAGAAACGUUGUGUAUUUAGCUGAAAUGACAAUAAAGCUCAACUUGAACUUGAACUUGAUUCAUGCAUCAGCUUAUUACUUCUGGGCUGUUUAUGAGACCAUGCCAGUUCCGCACCUAGUCCAGCAAUCAGCCAUGAAAGGAAGUGAACACUUAUAAACAAGAAGGAACAUUCAAGGGGAAAACUAAGACAGAAGUGGACCCUAUAAGAUGUGUCUAGUUCACUUCCCAUUCUCUUUCUGUCUUCUCAUCAAAUGUACAAAAAUCCCAGUCAGACUAGCCAUGGGAAAACCCCUUUGUGUGUGAAACAGUUGAAUCAAGGAUAAUUCAGGUUGACAACUAUUAUUUGAAACAAAGCAUUUCUUAAACGCACUCAUAAAUGGAUUUGUGGUAACCUAGACAUUUUCAUUUCCUGACAACACAGUGGGUUUGGACAACACAGUGCUGAACGUACAUGACAGUGCGUGCCUUUCAUGCACUUUCAUGCCGUGUCAGAUAAUUGCAUCAUUUGAAUUGGGCAAAAGUCAAAUUCUUAGCAUUGUUCAUUCUGAAUUCCAGAGUGCAAGGGGUUUUGUCCUUAUCUUAGACAAUGCAUAGACAAACUGAAUUUCAUGUUAGAAAAAGGGCAUGGUGUCUGAAUUUUACAACAGAUAACAGUAGCUCUUCUUAAUAGAAAGAACAGGAUGGAUACAUGCUGUUGUAAACACAGCCAAAACUGAGCGGCAGAGGGAAGGAAACGUUUUUCAUACAGACCUUGGGGCUGUUGUGACGUGUCUACGGUGGACCAACACCAGGAAAACACACACACACACACAUACACCGCCUUGCAUGUCCCUGGCUGUUUGUGACUCACACACGGAUGGCCUCCAGCAGGCAUCUCUGGUGAUGCCGGUGUUCUCCACUGUCACAUUUGGUCAUGUUGGUUCGAUGGAGCAGCCAGCACUCCCUCAGCACAUUUGCUGCAGCGUGUCUUAUCUGUAGAAUGGAAAGAGUGGUCAGAACAACAUUUCAAAAAUUCACAGCAGUGUGAGAAAGAAGUGUAUAUGUCAAAGUUCAAUCGAAUCCAGUCACAGACAGCUUGACAUUGAGCAAAGUGGAAUACUGAAACCUGUUAUUACCUGUUAUUAACAGAAUGAAACUGUAAUCAUGCUUCCAGGAAUAAUGUCUUAGGCUAAGAAUAGUCACACAUGAACGUAGGAUACAGACUCGACAGCUUUUUAUGUGCUUUGCUUCUACUUGCACGACUGACAGAGAUAUUGUUUGCUCAUGCUGAUGUCACCGCUUCUAUUCUUGGUGUGGAUGGCUAUUACUGGAAUCCGUACAGUCCCAGAUGGUCUCUUUUAUUACAGUCAGCAAAAAUCUGUCAGCUAUGGCCAAUUCGUCAAUCAACAUGUCUGAAUGUACACAAAGAAUAACUGCCAUUCAUAUUGCCAUACACCCACUGACAGAAACAGUGACUCGGCAUUAUUGCCAAAGAGAACGAAGCAACCGCUUAACAACCCAUCUGACAGGCUGGAAGAUGGUGGGAAACUACCCAACUUAACCAGUCUAGUGCCACGAGAAGCACUCAUUUUGUUUCUAUUUAAACCAGUGGAAACACUUAUAGAAUCUGCCGCCACACACAUUUAUUUCAGGCGUUUCCCCCUGAUAAGCAAACAGAUGGAUCCUGUUGAGGAUUGCGGAACAGCACCAAUACACCUCAGUCUGAACCCCCCCUACACCCACCAUAUGUAAAGUCUUCCAAUUCCUGUAUCACACGU